CUUGUAAACCAGGCAAUCGCUCUUUGGUCUUUAUGGAUCAAGGAGAGGAAAGUCCGAGCGCCAUCCAAGGUUUAAAAACCAUGGAAACGAUAGCGGGUAAUUCCCGUCCGCAGUGAUGCGAGAGUUGCGAGCAGAGACGUCUUUGCCUGAAAGGGCAAGAAAGCUAAUCCCGAAUUAUUGACUUAAAUCACUAAUAAGCUUAGUUCCGGCCGGGGAUAAAAGGCUGGGAGUGAAACGGCUAAAUACUUAUUGGGGCGCAAGGUCAAACUCAUUCUGAGUUUUUAGAAGAAUGAAGACAAGUAGACCGCUUGAGUCCGACAGUAAUGUCGAACCUAGAUAAAUGAUUGCCUCGGCGCGAAAGCGCCCAGACAGAACUCGGCUUAUUGUUUACAAGAUCA
rnacentral:RNase_P_RNA from 3 species